UUAUGUGAUCGUCUCUCGCAUAUCAAUAAGCGGAGGAAAAGAAACUAACAAGGAUUCCCCUAGUAACGGCGAGUGAAGCGGGAAGAGCUCAAAUUUGAAAUCUUAAAGGGUUUCCCUUUACGAAUUGUAGUUUAAAGAAGUGUUUUCUGUUGAGGUUUUGGUAAAAGUUCUUUGGAAUAGGACAUCAUAGAGGGUGAGAAUCCCGUAUUUGACCUUUACUUUCAACUUUGUGAUACACUUUCAAAGAGUCGGAUUGUUUGGGAAUGCAGUCCAGAAUGGGUGGUAAAUUUCAUCUAAAGCUAAAUAUUGGCGAGAGACCGAUAGCGAACAAGUACCGUGAGGGAAAGAUGAAAAGAACUUUGAAAAGAGAGUUAAACAGUACGUGAAAUUGUCAAAAGGGAAGCGUUUGACACCAGUGUUGUUUUUCUGAAAAUCAAUUAAAGAACUGUUUAUGCUAAGUUGUUUAGACUUUAUCAGCUAACUGUUUAGUUUUGAGCUUUUCUUUAAUGCACUUUUCAGUUAACAAGUCAACAUCAAUUUCUUUUGCUGUAAAAAAGCUUGAGGAAGGUGGCUUGAGAUUCGUCUUAAGUGUUUAUAGCCUCUUGCCUAUGCAGUCGGAGAGAUUGAGGUCUGCAGCGUAGAUCCUUCGGGGCUAAAUGCAUUUGUGCUAAGUCAUAGCAUUUUAUAGACAACUUGUUGACUAUGAUUUGUCUUGUAGCUUACUCGCUUAUGUUAUUUUACCUACGCUUAGGAUGUUGACGAGACUGUCGAUCUC
rnacentral:rRNA from 1 species